rnacentral:rRNA from 1 species
GAUGAACGCUGGCGGCGUGCCUAAUACAUGCAAGUCGAGCGAACGGACGAGAAGCUUGCUUCUCUGAUGUUAGCGGCGGACGGGUGAGUAACACGUGGAUAACCUACCUAUAAGACUGGGAUAACUUCGGGAAACCGGAGCUAAUACCGGAUAAUAUUUUGAACCGCAUGGUUCAAAAGUGAAAGACGGUCUUGCUGUCACUUAUAGAUGGAUCCGCGCUGCAUUAGCUAGUUGGUAAGGUAACGGCUUACCAAGGCAACGAUGCAUAGCCGACCUGAGAGGGUGAUCGGCCACACUGGAACUGAGACACGGUCCAGACUCCUACGGGAGGCAGCAGUAGGGAAUAUUCGGCAAUGGGCGAAAGCCUGACGGAGCAACGCCGCGUGAGUGAUGAAGGUCUUCGGAUCGUAAAACUCUGUUAUUAGGGAAGAACAUAUGUGUAAGUAAAUGUGCACAUCUUGACGGUACCUAAUCAGAAAGCCACGGCUAACUACGUG